rnacentral:rRNA from 1 species
CUUGGUUCCAUCUUUUUUACUGCUAACUGUUUUAAUUUUUGGCCCUCUGAUGAAUGUCUUUUACCCAUAGGGCUAUGCUACCCAAAUGUUAACCGAUCUGAAUUUCAUGCUUACGCCUGGUAUCCUAUUAAUUAUUUCCCAAAACAAUUGAUUAUUAGGUUGUAACAUAAGCGUAAAAAACUUAUAAAACAACUUUUAACAGCGGAUCUCUUGGUUCUCGCAUCCAUGAAAAACUUAACAAAGUGCGAUAACUACUGUGAAUUGCGGAGUCAUGGAAGCUCCAACUCUUUUAACACCCCUUGCCCUCGCUGGUAUUCCGGUGACCACCCCUGGUUCGGUAUCAAAAACACCCCACAUUCAUAAUUUUGUUGUGAAUGGAAAAUUCAGUUUCGGCUUUAUUGCUGAAUUCUUUAAAAUUAUUAGGCCUGAAUUUAUGUUCUGUCGACCUGAACUUUUUUUUAAUAUACCCGGAAUGCUCUAGUAAAAAGACUAUCUCUGGAACCUCCCAAAUAAAUCAUUCUUAAAUUUGAUCUGAAAUCAGGCGGGAUUACCCGCUGAACUUAAGCAUAUCAAUAAGCGGAGGAA